rnacentral:rRNA from 1 species
AUUGAACGCUGGCGGCAUGCUUUACACAUGCAAGUCGAACGGCAGCACGGGGGCAACCCUGGUGGCGAGUGGCGAACGGGUGAGUAAUACAUCGGAACGUGCCCGGUCGUGGGGGAUAACGUAGCGAAAGUUACGCUAAUACCGCAUACGAUCUGAGGAUGAAAGCGGGGGACCUUCGGGCCUCGCGCGAUCGGAGCGGCCGAUGUCAGAUUAGGUAGUUGGUGGGGUAAAGGCCUACCAAGCCGACGAUCUGUAGCUGGUCUGAGAGGACGACCAGCCACACUGGGACUGAGACACGGCCCAGACUCCUACGGGAGGCAGCAGUGGGGAAUUUUGGACAAUGGGCGCAAGCCUGAUCCAGCCAUGCCGCGUGCAGGACGAAGGCCUUCGGGUUGUAAACUGCUUUUGUAUGGAACGAAAAGGCUCUGGCUAAUACCUGGGGCUCAUGACGGUACCGUAAGAAUAAGCACCGGCUAACUACGUG